rnacentral:tRNA from 1 species
GGUAAUAUAACUCAGCCCGGUAGAGUAGCGCCCUCAUAAGGCGUUUGUCGCAGGUUCGAAUCCCGCUAUUACCACCA